rnacentral:misc_RNA from 1 species
UCAAAACCUUUCUAGCACUAAUAAAGGGUCGUUCAUCCUGAUAAAUGUUCUGCUGAUAAACUUCAUCUCCAAGAAGGGCCAAGUUUUCUUGAUAACAGAAGCGCAAUAUUUCCCUUAAAUUAGCUUCACUAAGACACUGACCAGUGGGGUUGCCUGGGUUGAUAAUGACCAUUGCUCUUACAGUUAUUCCUUUACAGCGCGCUUGAAAAACUGCAUGCCGCAGAUCAUUAAUAUCA